AGAGUUUGAUUCUGGCUCAGAACUAACGCUGGCGGCGCGUCUUAAACAUGCAAGUCGAACGGUAUCCAUUGAGCUUGCUUAGUGGAGAGAGUGGCGAACGGGUGAGUAACACGUGAAUAAUCUGGCUCCGGGAUGGGGAUAACUACCCGAAAGGGUAGCUAAUACCGAAUAAGAUGGUAGCUACACAAGUAGCAGCCAUUAAAGGUGGGGACCGCAAGGCCUACCGUCUGGAGAUGAGUUCGCGGCUGAUUAGCUUGUUGGCGGGGUAACGGCCCACCAAGGCGACGAUCAGUAGCCGGCCUGAGAGGGUGAACGGCCACANUGAGAGGGUGAACGGCCACAUUGGGACUGAGAUACGGCCCAGACUCCUACGGGAGGCAGCAGUUAAGAAUCUUGCACAAUGGGGGCAACCCUGAUGCAGCGACGCCGCGUGGAUGAUGAAGGCUUUCGGGUUGUAAAGUCCAGUAAGCAGGGAAGAAUAAGCGCCGGGUAAUAUUCGGUGUGAUGACGGUACCUGCCUAAAGCCCCGGCUAACUACGUGCCAGCAGCCGCGGUAAUACGUAUGGGGCGAGCGUUGUUCGGAAUUAUUGGGCGUAAAGGGCGUCUAGGCGGGGGAUUAAGUUAGAUGUGAAAGCCAUGGGCUCAACCCAUGAACUGCAUCUAAGACUGGUUCUCUUGAGUUCGGGAGAGGAGAGCGGAAUUCCAGGUGUAGCGGUGAAAUGCGUAGAUAUCUGGAAGAACACCAGUGGCGAAGGCGGCUCUCUGGCCUAGAACUGACGCUGAAGCGCGAAAGCGUGGGGAGCGAACAGGAUUAGAUACCCUGGUAGUCCACGCUGUAAACGUUGUAUACUAGGUGUUAGCGGCUUGUCCGCUAGUGCCGAAGCAAACGCAUUAAGUAUACCGCCUGGGGAGUACGCCCGCAAGGGUGAAACUCAAAGAAAUUGACGGGGGCCCGCACAAGCGGAGGAGCAUGUGGUUUAAUUCGAUGAUACGCGAAAAACCUUACCUGGGCUUGAACUGUGCAUGACCGGCGUAGAGAUACGCUUUUCCUUCGGGACAUGUAUAGAGGUGCUGCAUGGCUGUCGUCAGCUCGUGUCGUGAGAUGUUGGGUUAAGUCCCGCAACGAGC
rnacentral:rRNA from 1 species